rnacentral:rRNA from 1 species
CCUACGGGAGGCAGCAGUGAGGAAUAUUGGUCAAUGGGCGAGAGCCUGAACCAGCCAAGUCGCGUGAAGGAUGACGGCCCUACGGGUUGUAAACUUCUUUUGUCAGGGAGCAAUUGAGUCCACGUGUGGUCUUAGCGAGAGUACCUGAAGAACAAGCAUCGGCUAACUCCGUGCCAGCAGCAGCGGUAAUACGGAGGAUGCGAGCGUUAUCCGGAUUUAUUGGGGUUAAAGGGUGCGUAGGCGGAAUAUCAAGUCAGCGGUAAAAAUUCGGGGCUCAACCCCGUCGUGGCGUUGAAACUGGUGUUCUUGAGUGGGCGAGAAGGAUGCGGAAUUGGUGGUGUAGCGGUGGAAUGCAUAGAUAUCACGCAGAACUCCGGUUGCGAAGGCAGCCUAACGGCGCCCAACUGACGCUGAAGCACGAAAGCGUGGGGAUCGAACAGGAUUAGAUACCCCAGUAGUC